rnacentral:ribozyme from 14 species
AACAGUUAGUGAAAAUACACAACGCGAAGCCUAACAGAGAAAGAAAAAGUAAAAAAAAACAAAAAAAACAAAGAAGAGAAGAUGGCGGCUGGUUUUCUUCUACCAAUCAUUCUAAGUUACUUCUUCUCCACCUCCUCUCUCUCCU